UGGGAAAGACAAGUGUCAAAUCACAGGUGUGUCUGUCAAGUGUCACUGGUUGUGACUUCUGCUGUCCUGGUAUAGCUGCAAAUGCUGUUGAAUAGUGAAACAGUGCUAGAAUUUGUCAUGUGUGCCGUUGCUGCCUUCGCUGCAACGCGCAUUUGCUUUUUAUUUUCCUCGUCUCUGUCACGAGGAAGAAUGUCUGCUAAUGAGGACCUCUCUCCACACAGAAAACUGUUCUCAGGCACAAUGAGGAGAUACUCAUCAGAACUUGGAGCCGAACAAGAUUGCACUGCCUCUUCAACAAAACUCUGCAUUUGAAAGUGAAAUUAAUUCUGUGAGUUGUAUGCAAUGGAACAUCUGGUUGAAGAUGGGGAAGAAAAUGCACUGUCAUUACUGUUUUCUGCUGCUCCCUCACCUGGGCCCUGCUCCCAGAGUCAGAAUGAUAAGGAUACCAGCAGUGCCACCCAUAAAUAUUGAAACUAUGUCAUCUGAGGGAAGAAAAUGAAGACAUCUUCCAAAAAUGGAAGUUAUAUAAAUUGGUUUUCCUGCUGGGGAGGUCAAAGAAAAGAUUCAGG